ACCUCCGUUUUUCCCGCCCUGCCUGCCGGGAGCCGGUGUGGGGCCGGGAGGGCAGCCCGGCCCCGGCCUCUUCUCCCUGAGCGCGCUUGGUCCCUGCGCCCGCAGCCGUCCGUUCAGCGGAAUUUCUCGUUUUCGACGCCGGGAGGCUGUGAAAUGAGACCUGUGGCUUUCCUGGAUGUGUGAAAGCAUGAGGGGAAGCUGAGCAGGAGCUUUGAGGAGAAAAGAUGUCCGUCGGCAGAUUUCACCCUUCCUGAGACGUCCACACGUGGGCAUUACAGUUCACUAGGAGCAGAAACUGCAUCUCCAUUUCUUUCAUGCCUUUGGUACCCUCAAUAAAUAUCGCUAUGUUCC